GGAAGGUGGGGACGACGUCAGAUCAUCAUGCCCCUUAUGACCUGGGCAACACACGUGCUACAAUGGGAAGUACAACGAGUCGCAAACCGGCGACGGUAAGCUAAUCUCUUAAAACUUCUCUCAGUUCGGACUGGAGUCUGCAACUCGACUCCACGAAGGCGGAAUCGCUAGUAAUCGCGAAUCAGCAUGUCGCGGUGAAUACGUUCCCGGGUCUUGUACACACCGCCCGUCAAAUCAUGGGAGUCGGAAGUACCCAAAGUCGCUUGGCUAACUUUUAGAGGCCGGUGCCUAAGGUAAAAU
rnacentral:rRNA from 1 species